GCGGAUAUGGCGUAAUUGGUAGCCGCGCUAGACUUAGGAUCUAGUUCCUUUCGGAGUGGGAGUUCGAGUCUCCCUAUCCGCA
rnacentral:tRNA from 1 species